CAAAGAGCCACUUAUUCAUGCAUUCAUCUGGUACUAACUGCUCUCUUCAAUUAAGGUUAGAAAUAGAGGGCCAAGCGCUAUAUCAAGGCUAAUCUUGUGUGGAAGAUGCUUUUCUACCAGAUCUCCAAGAUAGAAGACUUAAUUAUUCAAGAUAGAAGAUGCUAAGUUAGCAUCCAUAAUUAUUCAGUCUGUACCUUGUAGGCUGUAGCCGCCAGUUUGUAGAUUCAUUUUUUUCUCUCUAUUAUGUAUAUUGCUGGACAUGUAAAGAAUUAUGAAAGGAAUUGCAUAGCAAAUUCUUCUGUCGAAA